rnacentral:rRNA from 1 species
UACGGGGGGGGCAAGCGUUGUCCGGAUUUAUUGGGCGUAAAGCGCGCGCAGGCGGUCCUUUAAGUCUGAUGUGAAAUCUUGCGGCUCAACCGCAAGCGGUCAUUGGAAACUGGGGGACUUGAGUACAGAAGAGGAAAGCGGAAUUCCACGUGUAGCGGUGAAAUGCGUAGAGAUGUGGAGGAACACCAGUGGCGAAGGCGGCUUUCUGGUCUGUAACUGACGCUGAGGCGCGAAAGCGUGGGGAGCAAACAGG